rnacentral:rRNA from 1 species
UACGUAGGGGGCAAGCGUUGUCCGGAAUCAUUGGGCGUAAAGAGCGUGUAGGCGGCCCGGUAAGUCCGCCGUGAAAGUCCAGGGCUCAACCCUGGGAUGCCGGUGGAAACUGUCGGGCUAGAGUCCGGAAGAGGAGUGUGGAAUUCCUGGUGUAGCGGUGAAAUGCGCAGAUAUCAGGAGGAACACCAAUGGCGAAGGCAGCACUCUGGGACGUGACUGACGCUGAGACGCGAAAGCGUGGGGAGCAAACAGG